rnacentral:rRNA from 1 species
UACGUAGGCAGCGAGCGUUGUUCGGAAUUACUGGGCGUAAAGAGUGUGUAGGCGGUGUUCCCAGUCUGUUGUGAAAUCUCCCGGCUUAACUGGGAGGGUGCAGCGGAAACUAGAAUGCUAGAGGGUGGGAGAGGUAAGCGGAAUUCCUGGUGUAGCGGUGAAAUGCGCAGAUAUCAGGAGGAACACCGGUGGCGAAGGCGGUUCUCUGGGCAUUACCUGACGCCGAGGAGCGAAAGCAUGGGGAGCGAACAGG